rnacentral:tRNA from 1 species
GCGCCCGUAGCUCAGUGGAUAGAGCAGCGGUUUCCUAAACCGCGUGUCGGGAGUUCGACUCUCUCCGGGCGCACCA